rnacentral:rRNA from 1 species
AUUGAACGCUGGCGGCAUGCUUUACACAUGCAAGUCGAACGGCAGCGCGGGCUUCGGCCUGGCGGCGAGUGGCGAACGGGUGAGUAAUGCAUCGGAACGUGCCCAGUAGUGGGGGAUAGCCCGGCGAAAGCCGGAUUAAUACCGCAUACGACCUGAGGGUGAAAGCGGGGGAUCGAAAGGCCUCGCGCUAUUGGAGCGGCCGAUGUCGGAUUAGCUAGUUGGUGGGGUAAAGGCUUACCAAGGCGACGAUCCGUAGCUGGUCUGAGAGGACGACCAGCCACACUGGGACUGAGACACGGCCCAGACUCCUACGGGAGGGAGCAGUGGGGAAUUUUGGACAAUGGGGGCAACCCUGAUCCAGCCAUGCCGCGUGCGGGAAGAAGGCCUUCGGGUUGUAAACCGCUUUUGUUCGGGAAGAAAUCCUCUGGGCUAAUACCCCGGGGGGAUGACGGUACCGGAAGAAUAAGCACCGGCUAACUACGUG